GCGUUGGUCGUCCAGCGGCCUAGGACUCCCCCGGUGAGGGGGUAACGCCGGUUCGAAUCCGGCCCACCGCA
rnacentral:tRNA from 1 species